AAAGGAAGCGAUUCCGGCUACGGAUGGUCAUGCGUCGCAUUAGCUUGUUGGCGGGGUAACGGCCCACCAAGGCGACGAUGCGUAGGGGUUCUGAGAGGAAGGUCCCCCACACUGGUACUGAGACACGGACCAGACUCCUACGGGAGGCAGCAGUGAGGAAUAUUGGUCAAUGGCCGCAGGGCUGAACCAGCCAAGUCGCGUGAGGGAUGACGGUCCUAUGGAUUGUAAACCUCUUUUGUCAGGGAGCAAAGGGCGCCACGUGUGGCGCUUUGCGAGUACCUGAAGAAAAAGCAUCGGCUAACUCCGUGCCAGCAGCCGCGGUAAUACGGAGGAUGCGAGCGUUAUCCGGAUUUAUUGGGUUUAAAGGGUGCGCAGGCGGAAUGUCAAGUCAGCGGUAAAAUUUCGGGGCUCAACCCCGUCGUGCCGUUGAAACUGGCGUUCUUGAGUGAGCGAGAAGUAUGCGGAAUGCGUGGUGUAGCGGUGAAAUGCAUAGAUAUCACGCAGAACUCCGAUUGCGAAGGCAGCAUACCGGCGCUCAACUGACGCUCAUGCACGAAAGCGUGGGUAUCGAACAGGAUUAGAUACCCUGGUAGUCCACGCAGUAAACGAUGAAUACUAACUGUCCGGGCAGAAUGAUGCCUGG
rnacentral:rRNA from 1 species